rnacentral:rRNA from 1 species
GCUGGUGCGUGGUCGGAGGGGUGGGUAAGAGAGUGGGGGCGAGGGUGGUGAGUAAGUAGUGGGCGUAAAGCGAGUGGAGGGGGCUUGUUAUGUCGGGUGUGAAAGGCCUCAGCUUAACUGGGGAAGUGGGCCCGAAAGUGGCGAGCUUGAGUACCGGAGAGGAGAGCGGAACAGCCGGUGGAGAGGUGAAAUUCGUAGAUAUCGGGUAGAACACCAGUGGCGAAGGCGGCUCUCUGGACGGAUACUGACGCUGAGACGCGAAAGCGUGGGGAGCAAACAGGAUUAGAUACCCCGGUAGUC